GGAUUAGGGCCUGCAAGUCGAACGAGGGAGUACUCCGAAAGGGGUGCAAACCGAGUGGUGUAAGGGUGAGUAAUGCAUUGAUAACCUACCUUUGRGAUGAGGAYAACAACGUUCCAAGCAAUCGGAGCUACCGAAAGGGCUGCUAAUACUCCAUGAAACUAUUGAUACUUCGGUAUUGAUAGUCAAAGGCAUGGGGCCGUAAGGUUCCAUGUGCUUAGAGAGGGGUCAAUGUCCUAUUAGCUAGUUGGUAGGGUAAUGGCCUACCAAGGCGAAGACGGGUAGCCGGCCUGAGAGAGUGGUCGGCCACACUG
rnacentral:rRNA from 1 species